GCUAAAUGUGCUGACUGGCUGAGUUGUCCAGCUAGAUUUUUUUUAAAACAAUGCAAAACAAAAAACAUCUUUGGAAACAUUAUUCCCAUCAAAUGAUAAAAUGAGAAAAAUGUAAACAUUCAGUUUCUGAAAGUGGAAGAUUAGGCUUAUGCUACUUAUUGGGGAUUGUUCUGAUUUUCAACAAAGUUAUCGGCAGACACAACAUCUUUGU